AAGAACAGAUCAAGCAUCUAAAAAUUGUUUCAGCAGCUUCGGUAACAAUUUUAGGAGCAGAUUCCUCACGAACUUGCCUUCUGCUUUUGCCAAGCAGACACAUGAAGUUACCGCCCUUCUUUCAUUUAUUUCACUCAUUGCCAAGCUGUAAACAAAAUUUGAUUUGCUGCAGGGGCAGCUGAAGGGCAAGACCACUAAAGCCUUUGCCUUAGGCCCCCGCCCCU
rnacentral:lncRNA from 1 species